rnacentral:rRNA from 1 species
CACGUGGGGGGGCGAGCGUUGUCCGGAUUUAUUGGGCGUAAAGAGCUCGUAGGCGGUUUCGUAAGUCGGAUGUGAAAACUCCAGGCUCAACUUGGAGACGCCAUUCGAUACUGCGAUGACUUGAGUCCGGUAGGGGAGUGUGGAAUUCCUGGUGUAGCGGUGAAAUGCGCAGAUAUCAGGAGGAACACCAAUGGCGAAGGCAGCUCGCUGGGACGUGACUGACGCUGAGACGCGAAAGCGUGGGGAGCAAACAGG